rnacentral:misc_RNA from 1 species
UUUCCGUAGGUGAACCUGCGGAAGGAUCAUUAUUGAAACUUCAUCCGGGGCGCCGCGGCCCUCAGCACCGGUGGACACGCCGUGCCGCGGGGGCCGCGCGUGCACUCGUCCAAACCAAUCCCCUGUGAACCUUACGGGAUGGCCCGGGUUAGCGCCCGGUGCCGUUCCGCUUUAUACAAACACUUAUCAAAGAAUGAACUGAAGGCGGUCUGACCGCUGGAUAACAAACUGAAACAACUUUCAACAACGGAUCUCUUGGCUCUC